CUACGGAGGUAAUUUGUCCUCUAUCGCAAUAAUGGAUGGCGAUAAAAUCUGUAGUUCUCGGGUAAAACCAAGAAAGUAAAGGUGAAUGGUGUUCGAUAUAUUAGGGAUCCAAGUCUCUAUCUACACAGGAUACUUAAAAACAUGACGAUAAUUUAAAGGGAUAAAGACACGCACAAGGACCUUGGAAGAUUUGAGGUACCCUGCACUGCAGUACAAGCCUCGCCAGCCGUGAUAAUAUCUUAAAUGAUAUCUAUGAUUUGAAGAAGAUAAUUUCAUUAAUCAUUGGAAUAAUUUAAAUGGAAUUAAAAUUGUCCUUUUGUAUUAUAAUGUAUUAAGAGUCACCUU